rnacentral:rRNA from 1 species
CCUACGGGAGGCAGCAGUGGGGGAUAUUGCACAAUGGGGGAAACCCUGAUGCAGCGACACCGCGUGGGUGAAGAAGCGCCUCGGCGCGUAAAGCCCUGUCAGCAGGGAAGAAAAUGACGGUACCUGUAGCAUAAGCCCCGGCUAACUACGUGCCAGCAGCCGCGGUAAUACGGAGGGGGCAAGCGUUAACCGGAUUUACUGGGUGUAAAGGGGGCGCAGACGGCGGGGCGAGCCAGGAGUGAAAGCCCGGGGCUCAACCCCGGGACUGCUCGUGGAACUGCGUGGCUAGAGUGCAGUAGGGGCAGGCAGAAUUCCUGGUGUAGCGGUGAAAUGCGUAGAUAUCGGGAAGAACACCAAUGGCGAAGGCAGGUCUCUGGGC